rnacentral:rRNA from 1 species
GUCUACAGCCAUGCUACCCUGAACAAGCCUGAUGCCGUCUGAUCUCAGAAGCUAAACAGGGUCAGGCCUGCUUAGUACUUGGAUGAGAGACCACCUAGGAAGACCAGGUGCUAUAGGCA